AUGAGAAGAGCAACAGAAGAACUAAAGAGAAUGAGAUAAAUGGAAGUACUUUGCCAAUGACUGAAUGGUAAAAGAGACCCCAAAUAUUUUAUGAACAGAGGCAUAUGAGCUAUGUAAAAACAAAAUACACCUCUAAGGCACCUGAGAUUUUACUGUCUCCUUAGGAGUCAAUCCUUGGGGUAGAAUUGGUUUCAAUGAACUGAGCCCUGCUGCUUUUGCUGAGAUUUCUGGAAGAAGCUCUGUUCUUGGGGAACCCUGGCACAG